UACGUAGGGCGCAAGCGUUGUCCGGAAUUAUUGGGCGUAAAGAGCUCGUAGGCGGUGUGUCGCGUCGGCCGUGAAAACCUGCAGCUUAACUGUGGGCUUGCGGUCGAUACGGGCAUCACUGGAGUUCGGCAGGGGAGACUGGAAUUCCUGGUGUAGCGGUGAAAUGCGCAGAUAUCAGGAGGAACACCAAUAGCGAAGGCAGCUCGCUGGGACGUUACUGACACUGAGGCGCGAAAGCGUGGGGAGCGAACAGG
rnacentral:rRNA from 1 species